CCUACGGGAGGCAGCAGUGAGGAAUAUUGGUCAAUGGACGAGAGUCUGAACCAGCCAAGUAGCGUGAAGGAUGACUGCCCUAUGGGUUGUAAACUUCUUUUAUAAAGGAAUAAAACGAGGCACGUGUGCCUUUUUGCAUGUACUUUUUGAAUAAGGAUCGGCUAACUCCGUGCCAGCAGCCGCGGUAAUACGGAGGAUCCGAGCGUUAUCCGGCUUUAUUGGGUUUAACGGGAGCGUAGAUGGGUUGUUAAGUCAGUUGUGAAAGUUUGCGGCUCAACCGUAAAAUUGCAAUUGAUACUGGCAGUCGUGAGUACAGUUGAGGUAGGCGGAAUUCGUGGUGUAGCGGUGAAAUGCUUAGAGAUCACGAAGAACCCCGAUUGCGAAGGCAGCUUACUAAACUGUGACUGACAUUGAUGCUCGAAAGUGUGGGUAUCAAACAGGAUUAGAUACCCUGGUAGGC
rnacentral:rRNA from 1 species